rnacentral:rRNA from 1 species
UACGGAGGGGGCUAGCGUUGUUCGGAAUUACUGGGCGUAAAGCGCGCGUAGGCGGCUUUGUAAGUUAGAGGUGAAAGCCCGGAGCUCAACUCCGGAACUGCCUUUAAGACUGCAUCGCUAGAAUCGUGGAGAGGUGAGUGGAAUUCCGAGUGUAGAGGUGAAAUUCGUAGAUAUUCGGAAGAACACCAGUGGCGAAGGCGACUCACUGGACACGUAUUGACGCUGAGGUGCGAAAGCGUGGGGAGCAAAC